GUGCUCGCUUCAGCAGCACACACACUAAAAAUUGGAACAAUACAGAGAAGAUUAUCAUGACCCCUGCGCGCAAGGACGAUGGCACACACGUUCCUGAAGUGUUCCAUGUUUUU
ensembl:snRNA U6 U6 spliceosomal RNA